CAGAACGAACGCUGGCGGCAUGCCUAACACAUGCAAGUCGAACCGAGACCUUCGGGUCUAGUGGCGCACGGGUGCGUAACGCGUGGGAACCUGCCCUUAGGUUCGGAAUAACAGUUAGAAAUGACUGCUAAUACCGGAUAAUGUCUUCGGACCAAAGAUUUAUUGCCUAGGGAUGAGCCCGCGUAAGAUUAGCUAGUUGGUGGGGUAAAAGCCUACAAGGCGACGAUCUUUAGCUGGUCUGAGAGGAUGAUCAGCCACACUGGGACUGAGA
rnacentral:rRNA from 1 species